rnacentral:rRNA from 1 species
CCAGACUCCUACGGGAGGCAGCAGUGGGGAAUAUUGGGCAAUGGGGGAAACCCUGACCCAGCAACGCCGCGUGAAGGAAGAAGACUUUCGGGUUGUAAACUUCUUUUACCAGGGACGAAGAAAGUGACGGUACCUGGAGAAAAAGCUCCGACUAACUACGUGCCAGCAGCCGCGGUAAUACGUAGGGGGCAAGCGUUAUCCGGAUUUACUGGGUGUAAAGGGAGCGUAGACGGCAGCACAAGUCUGGAGUGAAAUGCCGGGGCUUAACCCCGGAACUGCUUUGGAAACUGUGCAGCUAGAGUGCAGGAGAGGUAAGUGGAAUUCCUAGUGUAGCGGUGAAAUGCGUAGAUAUUAGGAGGAACACCAGUGGCGAAGGCGGCUUACUGGACUGUAACUGACGUUGAGGCUCGAAAGCGUGGGGAGCAAACAGGAUUAGAUACCCCCGUA